rnacentral:rRNA from 1 species
AACGAACGCUGGCGGCAUGCCUAACACAUGCGAGUCGAACGAGACCUUCGGGUCUAGUGGCGCACGGGUGCGUAACGCGUGGGAACCUGCCCUUAGGUUCGGAAUAACUCCCCGAAAGGGGUGCUAAUACCGGAUAUUGUCUUCGGACCAAAGAUUUAUCGCCUUUGGAUGGGCCCGCGUUGGAUUAGCUAGUUGGUAGGGUAAAAGCCUACCAAGGCGACGAUCCAUAGCUGGUCUGAGAGGAUGAUCAGCCACACUGGGACUGAGACACGGCCCAGACUCCUACGGGAGGCAGCAGUGGGGAAUAUUGGACAAUGGGCGAAAGCCUGAUCCAGCAAUGCCGCGUGAGUGAUGAAGGCCUUAGGGUUGUAAAGCUCUUUUACCCGGGAUGAUAAUGACAGUACCGGGAGAAUAAGCUCCGGCUAACUCCGUG